UGCAGUCGAACGCCCACCAGUGGGCUUGGUCCAGCUGUGAAUUGGCGUGGGGAUCUACCCGUUGCUACACAUUAACCCUAGGAAACUUAUAACUAAUACCGUAUGUGGCCUUCACCGGAAACAUUUAUCGGGGGAAAAUGAGGGACCGUCGGGUUACCUACUUGGUGAGGGAACGGCUCCCCAUUGCCACGAUCCGGAGCUGGUCGCUCAGGAUGAUCACCAUCCCUGGGACUGCUGAAAGGACCAUCCUCCUACCUGGGACUGAAAUGGGGAAUAUACUCCUAUGGGAGGCAGCCUGAUCCAAUUUUGCACAAUGGGUGAAACCCUGCUCCAGGUUGUAAAGCUGUUUCACCAGUGCCUUUAAUGUGUGUAACACUUUUGUCCGCCACGAAACCCUGAUCGCCAAUAGCCGCCGGAAUUGAAAGGGGGCUAACAAUGCUCGGAAUCUCUGUACGUGCCGCCCACCUCGGCGGAUCGUUAGGUGCGGGCGGAAAUCCUGAUUACUCGGCCUCAAAACUGGCCUUGAUACUGACAAUCUCCAGCUCUAAAGACCCUGGUGUCACUCCGAGUGCUGAGGUGAAAUUUGUCUAUCUUCAGAACAUCACAGGUGGGUGGAGUUCCCCGCUGGCUCGAUACUUGCGCUGAGAUG
rnacentral:rRNA from 1 species